AUGCGCGCCGCAACCAGCCUCUGGUCCCGGAUAUUAAGACUUCUGGAGGGUUCCCGCGUGAGGGCGGGGCCAGAACCGGAACCGAACAGCUACCGACGGGCCUCGGAGCGGAAGCCCGGGGCGACGCCAGCGGGCCCUAGUUGCUGGUGCGCGCGCCUCGUCUUGGCGGGAGCGCGAGGGGCGGGGUCUUGCCAUGCGCUUGCGCACUUUGGGGACGUAGGUGCCGCCGGCGUGUACGUCUUUUUCUAUCUUUGCACGUUUGCUAGGCGGGAUUCUAUAAACCUGGAGAGUAAUCCUAAGAAAAAUCAUCAGAAGAAAGGAAUUUGUAGAACUAAAACUGCAAACAUCCAGAAUCUUGAUGGUGUGCCAAGCCAAAUGUCAACUGGAACUCAACCAAAAACUAAACAAUGUUCCAACAUUGAAAAUGAUCUCAAAGAUGAUUUCUACCCCUUUUAGAAGAAGGAAUACAAUGGAUUACAUUUCUGGUCUGGUAAUUCUCUGAGAAUCUUCAUGCAAAUAAUGAGAACUAGCAAAAUGGGCAGAGAUAAAGAAAAGAAAACUUGAAGUGAUUAGCCCCAUGGUGCGUGGCUGUUUCUUGAGCUUUUCAUAUGCAAAGGCACCAUUGUUUGGAUUAAUAAAAUUAGCACAUUCCAUUUCGGCUGUAGAAGCUGAAUAAGUAAAUUACUUCAUACUUUAAACUAAACUCUAAUUUAAAC
rnacentral:lncRNA from 1 species